rnacentral:rRNA from 1 species
GACGAACGCUGGCGGCGUGCUUAACACAUGCAAGUCGAACGGAAAGGCCCUGCUUUUGUGGGGUGCUCGAGUGGCGAACGGGUGAGUAACACGUGAGUAACCUGCCCUUGACUUUGGGAUAACUUCAGGAAACUGGGGCUAAUACCGGAUAGGAGCUCCUGCUGCAUGGUGGGGGUUGGAAAGUUUCGGCGGUUGGGGAUGGACUCGCGGCUUAUCAGCUUGUGGGUGGGGUAGUGGCUUACCAAGGCUUUGACGGGUAGCCGGCCUGAGAGGGUGACCGGCCACAUUGGGACUGCGGUACGGCCCAGACUCCUACGGGAGGCAGCAGUGGGAAAUAUUGCACAAUGGGCGGACGCCUGAUGCAGCAACGCCGCGUGCGGGAUGACGGCCUUCGGGUUGUAAACCGCUUUCGCCUGUGACGAAGCGUGAGUGACGGUAAUGGGUAAAGAAGCACCGGCUAACUACGUG